UACGGAGGGUGCAAGCGUUAAUCGGAAUUACUGGGCGUAAAGCGCACGUAGGCGGGCCAGCAAGUCAGGGGUGAAAUCCCCGGGCUCAACCUGGGAACUGCAUCCGAAACUGGCAGGCUAGAGUCUUGUAGAGGGGGGUAGAAUUCCAGGUGUAGCGGUGAAAUGCGUAGAGAUCUGGAGGAAUACCGGUGGCGAAGGCGGCCCCCUGGACAAAGACUGACGCUCAGGUGCGAAAGCGUGGGGAGCAAACAGG
rnacentral:misc_RNA from 1 species